rnacentral:rRNA from 1 species
UACGUAGGGGGCAAGCGUUAUCCGGAUUUACUGGGUGUAAAGGGAGCGUAGGCGGCUUAGUAAGUCAGAAGUGAAAGCCCGCAGCUCAACCCCGGGACUGCUUUGGAAACUGCAUAGCUGGAGUGCUGGAGAGGCAAGCGGAAUUCCUAGUGUAGCGGUGAAAUGCGUAGAUAUUAGGAAGAACACCAGUGGCGAAGGCGGCUUGCUGGACAGUAACUGACGUUGAGGCUCGAAAGCGUGGGGAUCAAACAGG